AACGAACGCUGGCGGCAUGCCUAACACAUGCAAGUCGAACGAGAUCUUCGGGUCUAGUGGCGCACGGGUGCGUAACGCGUGGGAAUCUGCCCUUUGGUUCGGAAUAACAGUUGGAAACGACUGCUAAUACCGGAUGAUGACGAAAGGCCAAAGAUUUAUCGCCAGAGGAUGAGCCCGCGUAGGAUUAGCUAGUUGGUGUGGUAAAGGCGCACCAAGGCGACGAUCCUUAGCUGGUCUGAGAGGAUGAUCAGCCACACUGGGACUGAGACACGGCCCAAACUGCUACGGGAGGCAGCAGUGGGGAAUAUGGGACAAUGGGCGAAAGCCUGAUCCAGCAAUGCCGCGUGAGUGAUGAAGGCCUUAGGGUUGUAAAGCUCUUUUACCCGGGAUGAUAAUGACAGUACCGGGAGAAUAAGCUCCGGCUAACUCCGUGCCAGCAGCCGCCGUAA
rnacentral:rRNA from 1 species